GGACCAAGGAGUCUAACAUGUGCGCGAGUCGCAGGGUUGACUCGCAAGUUGAAACCCGAUGGCGAAAUGAAAGUGAAAGUCGGUGCGUCUGACCGACUGAGGCGGGAUCCGUCCGGGUAUCGCUGCAGCUCUCGAGGGGGCUGCGGGAGCCCGGCGGCGCACCGCCGGCCCGUCUCGACCGCUUCCUGUCGGCGAGGCGGAGCAAGAGCGCACACGUUGGGACCCGAAAGAUGGUGAACUAUGCUCGGGCAGGACGAAGCCAGAGGAAACUCUGGUGGAGGUCCGUAGCGAUUCUGACGUGCAAAUCGAUCGUCGGACCUGAGUAUAGGGGCGAAAGACUAAUCGAACCGUCUAGU
rnacentral:rRNA from 1 species